AUACCGUAUAACAGAGAAAACCGCAUGGUUUUCUUUUAAAAGAUGGCUCUGCUAUCACUUCUGGAUGGACCCGCGGCGUAUUAGCUAGUUGGUGAGGUAAAGGCUCACCAAGGCAGUGAUACGUAGCCGACCUGAGAGGGUAAUCGGCCACAUUGGGACUGAGACACGGCCCAGACUCCUACGGGAGGCAGCAGUAGGGAAUCUUCCACAAUGGACGCAAGUCUGAUGGAGCAACGCCGCGUGAGUGAAGAAGGGUUUCGGCUCGUAAAGCUCUGUUGUUAAAGAAGAACGUGGGUAAGAGUAACUGUUUACCCAGUGACGGUAUUUAACCAGAAAGCCACGGCUAACUACGUGCCAGCAGCCGCGGUAAUACGUAGGUGGCAAGCGUUAUCCGGAUUUAUUGGGCGUAAAGCGAGCGCAGGCGGUCUUUUAAGUCUAAUGUGAAAGCCUUCGGCUCAACCGAAGAAGUGCAUUGGAAACUGGGAGACUUGAGUGCAGAAGAGGACAGUGGAACUCCAUGUGUAGCGGUGAAAUGCGUAGAUAUAUGGAAGAACACCAGUGGCGAAGGCGGCUGUCUGGUCUGCAACUGACGCUGAGGCUCGAAAGCAUGGGUAGCGAACAGGAUUAGAUACCCUGGUAGUCCAUGCCGUAAACGAUGAUUACUAAGUGUUGGAGGGUUUCCGCCCUUCAGUGCUGCAGCUAACGCAUUAAGUAAUCCGCCUGGGGAGUACGACCGCAAGGUUGAAACUCAAAAGAAUUGACGGGGGCCCGCACAAGCGGUGGAGCAUGUGGUUUAAUUCGAAGCUACGCGAAGAACCUUACCAGGUCUUGACAUCUUCUGACAGUCUAAGAGAUUAGAGGUUCCCUUCGGGGACAGAAU
rnacentral:rRNA from 1 species